UACGGAGGGUGCAAGCGUUCUCCGGAUUCCCUGGGUUUAAAGGGUGCGUAGGUGGCCAACUAAGUCGGACGUGAAAUCCCUCGGCUUAACCGGGGAACUGCGUCCGAUACUGGUUGGCUUGAGUUUGGGAGAGGGAUGCGGAAUUCCAGGUGUAGCGGUGAAAUGCGUAGAUAUCUGGAGGAACACCGGUGGCGAAGGCGGCAUCCUGGACCAAUACUGACGCUGAGGAGCGAAAGCCAGGGGAGCAAACGGG
rnacentral:rRNA from 1 species